CCUACGGGGGGCAGCAGUGGGGAAUAUUGCACAAUGGGCGCAAGCCUGAUGCAGCCAUGCCGCGUGUGUGAAGAAGGCCUUCGGGUUGUAAAGCACUUUCAGCGGGGAGGAAGGCGGUGAGGUUAAUAACCUCAUCGAUUGACGUUACCCGCAGAAGAAGCACCGGCUAACUCCGUGCCAGCAGCCGCGGUAGUACGGAGGGUGCAAGCGUUAAUCGGAAUUACUGGGCGUAAAGCGCACGCAGGCGGUCUGUCAAGUCGGAUGUGAAAUCCCCGGGCUCAACCUGGGAACUGCAUUCGAAACUGGCAGGCUAGAGUCUUGUAGAGGGGGGUAGAAUUCCAGGUGUAGCGGUGAAAUGCGUAGAGAUCUGGAGGAAUACCGGUGGCGAAGGCGGCCCCCUGGACAAAGACUGACGCUCAGGUGCGAAAGCGUGGGGAGCAAACAGGAUUAGAUACCCUGGUAGUC
rnacentral:rRNA from 1 species